rnacentral:rRNA from 1 species
UACGUAGGUGGCAAGCGUUGUCCGGAUUUACUGGGCGUAAAGGGCGCGUAGGCGGCAAUUCAAGUCAGUUGUGAAAUCUCCGAGCUUAACUCGGAACGGUCAACUGAUACUGUUUUGCUAGAGUACAGAAGGGGCAAUCGGAAUUCUUGGUGUAGCGGUGAAAUGCGUAGAUAUCAAGAGGAACACCUGAGGUGAAGACGGGUUGCUGGGCUGAUACUGACGCUGAGGCGCGAAAGCUAGGGUAGCAAACGGG